UACGGAGGGUGCAAGCGUUAUCCGGAUUCACUGGGUUUAAAGGGUGCGUAGGUGGUCUGUUAAGUCAGGGGUGAAAGCCCAGAGCUCAACUCUGGAAUUGCCUUUGAGACUGUGAGGCUUGAGUACGGGAGAGGUGAGUGGAAUUCCCAGUGUAGAGGUGAAAUUCGUAGAUAUUCGCAAGAACACCAGUGGCGAAGGCGGUUCUCUGGGCAUGUCCUGACGCUGAGGAGCGAAAGUGUGGGGAGCGAACAGG
rnacentral:rRNA from 1 species